UCUGGCCAGGCUCCCGGGAGGCGGCGGGCGACUUCCGGCAAUAAGCCUCCGCUCCGCCGUCCGGUGGGGAGCGAGGGCGUCUGCGCUCCGGGCGGGGACUGAGGCGGCGCGCGCUCCAGGUGGGGACGGUGACCGCCUCCCCAGCCGUCCCCGCGCCAGGAGAACUAUGCCAUUUUUGGGUCAGGACUGGAGAUCUCCUGGAUGGAGCUGGAUUAAGACAGAAGAUGGCUGGAAGAGAUGUGAAUCCUGGAGUCGGGACCUGGAAAGAGAGACUAACCCGCGUACUAUCAGUCACAGCAUUAUCUUAAAUAGUGACGAUGAAGAAAUAUUCAGUAAUGAAGAGCAGGAAUACACAUCCAAAAAGAGGAAAAAGGAUCAUUUUAGAAAUGAUACAGAUACUCAAUGUUUUUAUCGUGAGAAAUGGAUCUAUGUCCAUAAAGAAAGCACGAGAGAAAGGCACGGCUAUUGUACUUUGGGAGAGGCUUUUAAUCGCUUAGACUUCUCAAGUGCAAUUCAGGAUAUUCGAAGGUUCACCUACGUGGUCAAACUCCUGCAGCUAAUUGCGAAAUCCCAGUUAACGUCGCUGAGCGGCGUGGCGCAGAAGAAUUACUUCAACAUUUUGGACAAAAUUGUCCGGAAGGUCCUCGACGACCACCAGAACCCCCGCCUCAUCAAGGACCUCCUGCAGGACCUGAGCUCCACCCUGUGCAUCCUCAUCCGGGGCGUCGGGAAGUCCGUGCUGGUGGGAAACAUCAACAUCUGGAUCUGCCGUCUGGAGACCAUCCUCCACUGGCAGCAGCAGCUGCAGAACCUGCAGGUCACUAAGGUGAACGACGGCCUCACGCUCAGUGACCUCCCUUUGCACAUGCUCAACAACAUCCUGUACAGACUCUCCGAUGGCUGGGACAUCGUCACGCUAGGCCAGGUGACCCCGACACUGUCCAUGCUCAGCGAGGACAGGCAUCUGUGGAAGAAACUCUGUCAGUACCACUUUGCCGAGAAGCAGACAUCUGAUCCUGUCGGAGAAGGGCCACGUGGAGUGGAAGCUGAUGUACUUCGCGCUCCAGAAGCACUACCCGCCCCGGGAGCAGUAUGGGGACACCCUGCACUUCUGCCGACACUGCAGCAUCCUCUUCUGGAAGGACUGCCGCCUUGCUUUGUUGUUCAAGGACUCGGGGCAUCCCUGCACCGCCACCGACCCCGACAGUUGCUUCAUGCCUGUGUCUCCGCAGCACUUCAUCGACCUGUUCAAGUUCUGAGGGCGCCCGCCCGCAGCCCGCCCUCCCGGUGGGAGGGGUUCACCGCGCUGUGCCGUCGCCGGGGAGCGACCUGAACACGGACAACACACUCCCCCCUCCCCGCCUGGACAUGGCAGGGGCCUUGGUUUGUUGUGAAAGGGGUCGGAGAACCCAAGCAAAAUCAUUUCUGCUUUCUCUAAAAGUCCUCUUCAUCUAAGCCCAUUAAGUGUCGCUGUCUGUGCUGACCUGGUGCUGAGGGCCAAGGACGUGCUGCCCUCUGGACGCGGCAUGGAGCCUGGGGCGUCUGUUUCCCCUUUCCGUUUGACAACCAGCCGUGUUUUCAGAAGCAUGUUUGAAAACGUGGGUCUUGCUGGCCGGCAGGGCACUGCUGGUUCCUGCUGUCCCCCAGCUUGUGUGCGGCCGUCAAUCCCCUGAGGCAAACAAGGAGCAGAGCCCAGUGAUGGCACCACGGGUCUGAGGGUGCCCAGGCCGCCCCUGUGAGCUGUUAGGGUCAUCCUGAGCGAUGGCUGCUGCAGAACCCUUCCCCCGGCGCCGUUUUCCUGCCUGAAGGACAAGGUGACAGGCUUGCUGCCCAGCACAGCUGCUGCUGGACACGGGAGAGACCGCGGACCGAGAGGCAGAGGUUGUGAGGGCCUCGCGGCGAGAUCCGAACGGCAGGUUCUCUGACAAACUGUUCCGGGAGGCAGGCUGGCGGAGCCCGGGGAGCCACGGGGGCUGUGCGAUCCCUGCAGGAGGCCACGGGCCGCACAGAAACGUGGCGCGUCCUGAUGGUGGUGCCGCCCGGAGCCCGGUCCCCAGGGCACCAGCAGGACCCGGGGCCUUCAGCCUGGCCUUCCCUGCUGUGAGGACACCCAACCCCCAACCUGCCGCAUUUAACAGCUCACACCCCGUGUCCUGCUUCUGAGGAAAAAGUUAAAAGGAGCUAAAAAGACAUUUUCCGGCCAGUUGGAGAACUCUGCAUGUGGGCGUCGGGAGAGGACCAGUAAUCCGGCCGGUGGUGCCGGGGACAGCACUCGGGGCUGCAGCGCCCCGGUGUUCGCGGUGGAAGUCACUGCCGCGCUGCCCGUCACAAAGGUGAGCAGGGGGAGAGCCACGAGGGACCACGGGCGCCGUCCACCGCGAGGCGGGGCGCCCAUCCCGCUGCCGCGCUGUCCUCGUCACGGGCCCCUGGGGAUGCCACGUCUGCCAUGUCCCAGCAGAGCCGCGGACCGGAGCCAGCCCUCAACCGCGAGGAGGCCCCCAGGGAGCGCGGCCGGGAGCCACAGGGCCACCGCUCGUCGGUGGAGGGGCACCAGCAGCGCUUCAUCUCGACAGCGUGGAAGCGCUCGGAACAGGAAGGGUUUGGGUUCACAGGCCUGUGGGCGGAAGCGGCACCUGCCGGCCCGCGUACUGACCUCAGGGGCAGCCUUGUCGCUGCGGCCCCCCGCCAGGGCCUCGGGCUUGUCGCGGCCCCGUGGGCUCUGUGAUCCCGUGACACGUUCCGAGGGCGCACAGCGCAGACCCUGCUCUGGACCCGACGCGCGCCAGAGGUCCUUGCCGCCGCCGGGGACGCGGGGAGCGAAGCGCCAGUGGUUCUCAAGGCCGACGAGCAGACCGACAUGGAGAGGGAGCUGGGCGGCCAAGUGGGGGACGCACCGAGGGACUGCGAGGGCCAGCACGCAGUGUGGGCGCUCCUGAAACCCGCCGGAGGGUCUCUGACUGCAUGGACCCUCGCUGAAGUCCCCGUGGUCGCCGGGCUCACGGCCUCUGCGGCAGCGCCUCCAGCCACCGAUGCCAUCGGGCCCCUCCUGCCACGGCACCAGAGGCCGCUGUGGCCUGAGGCCCGACCACUGCCCUCCCUCCGUCUGUCACAGGCAUUCUGUGGGGACGCGGGGUAUCUGAGAGGGACAGCGUCCACACGACUCCACCACUGUGCCCGGCUCCUCAGUUACCAGCUCCCGGUGCCCUGUGGCUUCAGGUGUCCGCGGUCUCAGCUGGGGGUCUGGGAAGCACGUUCUGUGGGCGCAGGGGACCGUCCACCCCCCCACAGCACAGAUCCCACGACCCCGGGGAGUCUGACCAGCACAGAAACCACCCUCGGCCCUGGUUUCUGUGAAGGUGGCAGCACAGCGGCCGCGGGGCGCAGGGCGGGGGGCACGCCCGUGAACCCCUUGUACUUGGGCUACUCCAGCAGGGCUGCAAGAAGGCCCAGGCUGGGCCCGGGAACGGAUCCUGUGGGACAGCCCGGGGCUGGUGAGCCAGCGCCUGGACUGGCAGGUGGGGCCUGGGGGGUCUGGGGGCGAGGACCUGCCCAGGGCCAGCUGGUGGGAUUGCCGGCUGCCGGCACAGCCACAGGGGACCAGAACGUGGGGACAGACGGCUCCCCACCCCUGGGAACGCACCGGAUCCCUCAGGAAAGGUCAGGCAGACGCCUCCUCGGCUCCCCCCCCCCCCCCCCCAGCUCACCUUGGCGUUCAGCUCCUCACCCAGUGGGUGAUUCUGAACAUUUGUUUAAAAGGAUCACAAAGUGAAAAAAACUGUCUUCGCGAAUUAAUCUGCAAAGCUUCCUGAAUAGAGAGCCCUGCUGGUCUUCUGUUCAGGCCAAGAAAUACCCACUGAAGAGUAAGCACGGAACCAGAAGGUCGGGAAGUGGCUAGAAGUAACCUGGGAGGGGCAGGCGGAGGCGGCUCCCUGGACACAGGGGAACCCUACUCCCCAGGCGGGGUCCUCUGGCCCCCUCGCUGACAGGACGUGGACUAGCUCUCCCUUGAGACAAGAAAGGAAAUCUCCAGAGGCAGGACCCCGAGGACAAGACGGGCACCGUGCCCCCCACGCCUGCUCCCUGAAGGACCUGCGCCCGGAGGCAGAGCUCGGCUGGCCGCGUGCGUGCCCAGUUUUUGAGGUACAUACCUGUCUCCUCUGGAACAGGCCACUCUUCCUCACAGACCUUCUUGUAAGAGACGGUGAUCUUUUCAGAAGACAAGGGUGAUUAAAAGUACUGUUGCUGGGAUGCUCGCGGCUUCUCAGCUGGGUGCGGCUCUAAUUCCUGACCCUAAACUCCACCCAGAGCACAGGCACGCCCCCCUGGUUCCUUACCGGCAGGACGGUGGAAGCAGGCGGCUCAAGUAUGCCAAAGAUACAUCCCAAAAACUUUGGUUGGAAUUGGUCAUUUAUUUAUGAAAUAGUCUACGUGUACUGUUUGCACUUUUAAAUGAGAUUUCAGGUAUCAAGAAAAGUGCCAUCAGCUUUGUGACUGAAGUCACCGUAAGGAGUCACCUCGAAGUCGAUGCCAAUAACCAUGCAGACUAAUAACGAAAGAGGAAAUGAACGAUGCUUUUAUUUUUUUAAAACCUCAGCGUUGAGAAUGAAUUCUGCCUUCUUCGAAGCCCAUCACUUUCCUUUUACAAAGUAAGCAACAGAAGGAGCAGAGACCGCUCGCUCUUUACACAGUGAAGUCGUGUGUUCACAGAAUGCAAACAAGAACCCCAAAGUCAAAACCACAUUCCCUCGUUAAGCCGUGAACAACACAAAGUUGCUUUGGUAAAUUCUAUCAGAAAAAAUACUUCUCUCCCAAAAGCACACCAAUAAAUAAAUUAAAAACCGCAAACAUACUUAUUUUCAUUUAAUCAGAUACAACAGAAGAAAAAGUUUAUUCUUACAUUAAUCUUUGUAGAUAAGAAAAAUGUGAUUUACAGUGCACGUUCCAAUUCCGAUCUGGCUUCGUCUUCAGAUUUUGAGAAACCGUAUUAUGAAGGACUGUCGUCAGCCUUGCGUCACCGAUUUGCACGGAGGUGAGUUACAGGCACUUGGCGUCGCCACACGUGGGUGCAGCGACCUGCAGCGGGUCUCGGGGUCCCGACUCCGCUCCGCCCACGCCGAGUCCCAGACCCAGCGCCUCCUCCCCUGCGCCUGCAGCUCGGGCUCCAACACACGCGCCCAGGUCACAGCCGCGUGGGGGCCGCCGCUGCCUACGGAGCCCUUUCCCUGAGGACUUGUUCCACCAACAUCUACCAGCAUCACCAGACACACCCCCAGCAUCUCAAGGUACUAACAAACCGGAUCUUGAUUUUCAUGCCACUUAAACCUGCCCCCCGUUCAAAACUCCGUCAAGUAAGCUUCUAGUAAGAAAAGAUGGGUGGACAGAUGGACGGAUGGAUGGAGGACAGACUGAUGCUGUACCAUCAGGAGUCCCGCCACGGGACCUGCGCAGGUUCCCACAGGUGUGUUCACUGCGUGGCACAGACGUGCACACGGAGCCAACGGGGGACCGUGUUUUCUCACGGGAGGUGUGCACAGUGUCACUGGAGGUUUUUGUUUUUAAUCAGAAACACCCUAAACCUUUCCCUCCAAACCACCAUUGCCUCGGGCAGCCGUGGCACCACCUGUGGACCCGGCCGUGCUGGGCGUCCGCCACUGGCCACUGCAACUGGCUCACUUUGGAAGCCAAACACCUGCACAUUAUAGAAAAGAGGCACUUGCAGUAUUUUAUCUACAGUUUUAACUCCAUCAGCAAAUUAGUGUUUUCCAAGAACAAAUCAGAGAAUCAAGUUGCUAAACCUGAUCCACACUGACGGUAUUUAACCUGCAAUCGCAGAACACAUUUUCAGAAGAACACGAAGAUCAGGAUGAGUAAGAUGAACCCUAAAGUAAGAACCACUGUCCCCGUCCUCCGUGCACGCGGGAGACGCCCCCUCCCAGCGCAAGUGAUGAAGAUGCUUUGCGGAGAGUGGCAUUUUGUGCUGCAUCCAAUGUAACCUUUGCUUUCCUGGUAUUUAGAUGAAAAAAGGUUUAAUUUGCCAGGUUGAACACAAUUUAACAUAACCUUUGGAAGAAUGGCUUCACAGCUGGAUCACGGGCUUCUGGGAAGAAAAGAGGGCCCAGCCCCGCCGCUACAGUCGAAUGUCAUGGACACACAUGGACACCACAUGCAGGACAUGGGGGUCACGGGGGGGGGACAGGGCACGCAGGGGAGGACAGGGCACAGCCCACAGGACCGCGUCCGGCAGCGCUGCGACCAGAAGGGGCAGACGUUUCCCAGGAGGCGGCCGCCGGCUGGGGCUGUCCUCCGUCAGCCACGGACAGGAACGUCUGGACGCGGGCGGGCAGAGAAGGUGCUCUGCUCUCGUCCACGUGGGAAGGGCCAGCGGACAUGGGAACGAACACAGCGUGAGACCGCAAACUCUCAGACCGGCACGGGGAGAGAAGACGCAGGGGCCGCGUCAGUUGUGGUUUGGGAACACUCGGCUCUGUGCGCCUCUCCCGUCCGCAGCGGGGCCGGAUGGUCACUCCAGCUCUUCCCAGUUGUCGGUCAGGUGGCCCCUGCUCUGCCGUCGGAUGCCGACCAGCCUCCCGGCCGACCGGAGGCUCCAGCGGGAGCUGUUCCCUGAGCUUGCCAGGCUGCUGUACUUGCUACGGCCCUUGGCGUCCUCGUCCCAGCCUGGCCGAGGGGGACGGCCACUCGCCGCGUCACCCGCGUGGGCUGUCACAUCUUCAGGAGCAAGCGCUGGAGGCUCCCAACCUUCAAUCUCAUCUGGUUUCUUAGACUGAAUAUUCUGUUUUAAAACCAAAUUGUCCCAAAAUCCAGACUUCUUCUCUGUCUUCAACUCCUCUCUUAACCGCAAGUUAGUUCUGUGGGAGACAAGACAGCCAAGUGUUGGUGACCAGUGAUCUCAGGGCCUCAAUUAGUGUCCACCGUAUACACCUAACACUAUUUUAAAAUUUAAGUCAUUUAGAAAGUGACCACAAAUCUGUAAUAAAGAAUUUUAAUUAAAAUUAGUAAAAAAA